rnacentral:rRNA from 1 species
GACAGAGGGUGCAAACGUUGUUCGGAAUUAUUGGGCGUAAAGGGCGCGUAGGCGGCCUGGCAAGUGGAAGGUGAAAUCCCUCGGCUUAACCGAGGAACUGCCCUCCAAACUGCUUGGCUUGAGUCCGGGAGAGGUGAGUGGAAUUCCCAGUGUAGCGGUGAAAUGCGUAGAUAUUGGGAGGAACACCAGUGGCGAAGGCGGCUCACUGGACCGGAACUGACGCUGAGGCGCGAAAGCGUGGGGAGCAAACGGG